UUCAAUGCAUUGUGUUAUUAAUUAUAAAAAUUUUGUCCUUCUUUUUUCGUAGUUGAAUUAAAACAUUAUGAAAUUUUAACUUUCAUUUUAGUGUGAUGUUACUAAUUUUCUAUUUUUUUCUUUUCAUGCAAUGCGCAUUCACUAAUUUGGAACCAAUUUCUUAUACUGUAAAUAUGUUUGAUAAUACAACAAUUGCAACAGCAUAUUCUGACAAAGUUUUUCAAGCGGUUAGUGAUGGUGGCUACGUUUUCAGCAAGGUAAUUGGCAAAAUAGUGGCAAAUAAGCGUUUAGUUGGUCUUGAUUCAAAGUGGUACUGGUGACAAAAAUCAAUAAUAGAUAUGCUAUUCAUACCAACGCCUAAUUUUAUAUGUCGACAAAACAAAUAAAUGUUUUAUUUAUUUA